UACGGAGGGAGCUAGCGUUAUUCGGAAUUACUGGGCGUAAAGCGCACGUAGGCGGCUUUGUAAGUAAGAGGUGAAAGCCCAGAGCUCAACUCUGGUAUUGCCUUUUAGACUGCAUCGCUUGAAUCAUGGAGAGGUCAGUGGAAUUCCGAGUGUAGAGGUGAAAUUCGUAGAUAUUCGGAAGAACACCAGUGGCGAAGGCGGCUGACUGGACAUGUAUUGACGCUGAGGUGCGAAAGCGUGGGGAGCAAACAGG
rnacentral:rRNA from 1 species